ACUCGUUUUCAGUUCUCGCCUCAGUCCCGUUGCCUGCUAUCACAAGCACGGUAGCUGUCUCUGCUUGCGUGGGUUUUUCCGUUGCCGAUAUCAAUUUCUUACUACGUUCCUUACGCUCCCGAUGCGACUUGGUUUUCUUCGUGAGCUUCAGCUGACCGUUGCCGUCGUCUGGUUUGGACGGGUUUACUUUUGCUUCUGCAACUGGCGCUGCUUCCACUGGCAAUGCGCUUUGCGUCGCUGCCGUUGUAGUUGCUGCUGCUGCUGUUGCUGCUGUCGCUGAGCUGCUGGUUGUCGGUGGUGUAGUUUGACUGCGUCUUGCCCUUGGCACAUAUACGGCCCGGUCGGGGCGGCGUUCGCGGCGAGUGGUGGACUGUUGCUCUCUGCGAAGCAGAAAACCAAAACAGAGGCGAUAAAAUGAACGGCAACAAGCAAGCAGGUUGUUCCUCAUGGAUAGGUUCGGCUGUACAUAUGAAAGUGAGAUUAUCUACCUGCUCGGUGAUUCUUUGGAAGUAGAAUUCGAUAUUGCUGUUCCUGCAGCUGUCUCUGCUGGCGUUUCGUUCGAUGCAGCUGUCUCUUCGCUGCUGCUGUUCUUCCUGAGUGCUGGCGGUCUAUACAAGUCCACAGAGUUCGAUUUGCUUACUGCGGGAGAGGAUCAGAGACAGAGAGAUAGAAGAUAAUCAGAGGAUGAGUGAGGAAAGCAAAAGAGUUGGCAAACCAACAAUCACAAAAACCAAAGCUUCGUGAAUGUCAACACUAGAGCGAGCGAGAGGAGAGAGCGACCGCAACAAGUGAGCGUGCGCAGCCAGCCGCUCAGCUGAGCGAACGAGCGAGUUUCUGUUAAUGAUGCAACAGCACCAAAAAUCCACUUGAGAAAGAGGGCGACCUUGAAUGAGCUGCGUGACCCGCUGCGCUGCCUUCGCACAGCGUCGUCGUCGA